rnacentral:lncRNA from 1 species
GAGCACCCAGCAAAGGCGAGACCAGGCGCUGCGUCCCCUCCAUCGAGGACAUGAUCGACUUCGCCACCACCGUCCUCGGCCGCAACGUUGUGGUUCGCACCACCCAAUCCGUCGAAGGGUCAAAACAAAACGUAAUGAUCGGGUCGGUCAAAGGGAUCAACGGUGGACAAGUCACCAAAUCGGUGUCCUGCCACCAGAGCCUGUUCCCUUAUCUACUCUAUUACUGCCACUUCGUUCCCAAGGUUCGGGUCUAUGAAGCGGACCUCCUGGACCCGAAAACCAAAGCCAACAUUAACCAUGGUGUUGCCAUCUGUCACUUGGACACCUCCGAUUGGAGCGCAGGUCAUGGUGCAUUCGUAGCAUUGGGUUCGGGCCCUGGCCGGAUUGAAGUUUGUCACUGGAUCUUCGAGAAUGAUAUGACCUGGACCAUUGUAGACUGAUUCAUGACCCACCUUGUCAGCUCAGUUCGAACCACUUGGUCAACCAAGCUGGCGCGACCCCGACAUCUGCUUGUUCGUUUCCUUCAUAACGAGUCAUGGUGAAAUAUUUCAAGGCAUUUGCUUCAUCUAUGUAAGGAUGGUAAUUUAUCUCAGUUGUGCGAGAGCUAAGGAAGGAUUAAAAUGUUGAAAAUUAUAAAAAUAUGGGUAGUUAAAAUUUAGAUAAAUAUAGAAAAAUGUUGGACAGAAAAUUGGUUAAAAAAUACCAGUUUAAAAGAAAUUGAUGGUAAAAUAAGUAAUAAUUUAUGAAAACUCAAAAAAAUAAAAAAUAAAUAAUAAUAUAUAUUUUAAAAUUGUUUUAUUAGAGAAAAUUAUAUAUAUAUGGAUAAAAUUUAUAAUAUUAAUUUGUAAAAGUUGAAAAUAUAUUUAUUAAACACAUUUAAUAUUAAAAUUAUUAUCUAAUUAGUAUAGAUGUAUUUAAGUCUAUAAAAGAAUGAUAAGUGUGCAUAUAUAAUAUUUAAUUAUUAUUUAAAAAUAUAUAAAAAAAAUAAAUUAAGAAGAUUAUUAUGAUGAUUUUCAGAUCCGUUGAAUGAAAUUUUAAAGUACCAUAGUUAAAAGUAAUUCAUUUAAUUUUUUUUUUAAUUUAAUAUUAAUUUCAUGUCUUGGGUUCAGAUGAUGAAGAUUUUAUUAAUAUGAUACUUCAUUCGUACGUGAAAGCAAGAGAAAAGUGACAAAAUCAGGAUAAAAUCCUAAAAUAUUAAAGAAAUAUCAUGAAAUCGAGGAGAAAUAUCAAGAGACUUUAGAGAAAUACUAGGAAUUUUCAUAGAAAUAUCAAAAAAUGUAGGAAAAAAAUAGAGAAAUACUAGUAAAUAACGACAAUAUUGGUUGAUUUUUGGCAAGCCAAGAUUUCCAUCCCUUUUUGGUAUCACGACCGGUCGAUGCACUGAAAUUUGAAGAUAUUUCAUUGAAAUAAUGUUGAUAUUUUCACCCAAAUUUCGCAACGUUUUAAUCUUUGAACCUAACAAAUGCUUUGAUGGCUUCCGAAAGGUGGAAGGUAAUGAAUGAAUGGCUUUCAGUAAUCAGUAUUAGAACAAUGGUGCUUCGCUGGGGCUUCAUUUCCUAAUAAUGGCCUAGAAAUCUAUGAAAGAUGCAAAAUUGAUGUGAGGUCCACGUGAUGUACAUGGACAAAAUUGCUCUUUUAUUAUUUAAGCAUGUGAUAGUUGUGGAAAUGGGCCAAAGAAUUCUCUCAUUACAUGGAUGCAUAUGUGAUGGAUAACAUGACAAAUGCAAUAUUGCAUAAAACAAACAGGGUCAAGCCCUAGUUUUAGAAAUGAAGCUCUUGUACUCAAAACUAGGAGAAUAACGAAGACCUCUCUAACUAAGGUUAUGGCAAAGACCUCCACGAUCAGGGCAAUGGCAAAUACAUAGAUAGAAGGGAGGUUGCACAAUUGCAAAACCUUGGUGAAGGGAGGGAAAUGAGGGUGAAGUCAUGAUGGUGAAAUGACCACAAUCCAAGCCUUGGUAAGUUAUAUAUUAAUGUCCCUCCCAAUCUUAAAGUCUUGAAAUUGAUUUGAUAGGUUCUAUCAUCAGUUUGGCUUGGAAACAAACCAAGAAUCUAAAGCCUAUGAAGUAAAAGAAAAUGAGUGAUGUUAGAGAAAAUGUUAUAAAUUGAAUAGAUUUAUGUUAUUGAAAUUUCUAGAGAGUAGAUAAUUAUACAACUAUUUUGAUAAGCCGAAUACAAUAUUAAGCAAUGGAAUGAAAAUAUUAGUUUGAAAUCUUCAAAUUGAUAACAAAUGUGACAGUGGGAAUCAAGCAAGGAAAAAAAAUAUUGGGAUAUAUUAGCGAUAUAUCGGUGAUAUAUCGUGUAUCAGAGAAGACAAAUAUGAUAUAUAGAUAAGAUAUAUCGUCUGACGAAAAUAUUGGUAAAUAUCGGUGAUACAAGUAAAAUAUCGACCAUAAAUAAGAAAAAAUCGUUGAAAUUUUGGAGAUAUAUUGGAUAUAUCGAAGAUAUAUCGGUGAAAAAUCGAUAAAAAAUUAAAUUAUUAUAAAUAAGUUAAUUUUAAUUAUGCUUUAAUUUAUUUUGUAUGCUAAUUAAAUAUAAAAUCAUAAAUAAAAUUAUCAAUAUUUUUAAAUAAAAAUAUUUUGUAUCAAAAUGUACCAAUAUUUUAAAAUAAAAAUCAUAAAUAUAUUUAAAUAGCAUAAUUAGUAAAUUUGCAAUAAUUUAGUUUUAAAUUAAUUAUUUUAUUUUAUUUUGAUAUUCAAGUGUAAUAAUAGUAUAUUGAGAAUAAAUUAACUUAAUACAUUUUUAAAUUAGUAUAACAUUGAAUUUAAAUUAGUACAUUUUUAUAAUUAAUUAAUGUAUUUUUUAUAGAGGUAAGUAAAUUAACUUAAUAUAGUAAUAUAUUUAAAUCAUAUAAUUAGUAUAUUUAUAAUAAUUUAAUUUCAUAAUGAGUUUACACUUACAAAAUUCACAUUUCUUAUCAGUCGAUACUAUAUAAUUAAAUUUAAUAUUGCAAAUCAUAUCAUACAUAUAUUAAUUUUUUCAACAAAACAAUUUUAAAAUGUCUAUUAUACUUCUAAUUUCAUUUUUAAGAGUUCUUUACUUACAUUUUCAUAAGUUUUGAUGAAUUUUUUGUGUAUCGAUAUUUUGUGUCAAAAUAUCUACCGAUAUAUCUCUGAUAUAUCCGAUAUAUUUGUAAAAUCUAAGUAUCGAUAUAUCCAUGAUUACCGAUAUUUUCAUUCUUGAAAACAAGCUCAUGCAAAAUUUUGAUAUAGCUCUAGUGUUUUGCAUAAUAACCUUUUGAGGUUCAACACUCGAUGUGAGAAUAAACCAAUAUCAAAGUACCUUAUUGAUUUGUAGCCUUAUUCUAACCUAGUUGUAAAAUCUAAUAGGCUUAAUUCUUCUUAACUUUGAUAUAGUUCCCCAUAUAUGCCCCCAUUUUUAUUAAAGCUUUAGCAACUCCCAAGCCAUAAGGCUUUAGGGCACUAGGAUUAAUUAGUGAUUUUCUUCGGAUUCAUACCCUAGUUUCUGGUCAAUUAUAGGUUUUUCCACAUAUGCUUCAAUCUCAAGACACCUACAUUUUGAUGUGAACCUCAACUCUUACCUAGGAGUAAAGGGUACUAAAUUACUCAAUAGGGACUCUUGCCAAAGGCAAACCCAACAACAACUUAAGGAUAAUAAACCCAAAAUUUAUCAUACAAGAACUUAGACCCUUGAUGCCUUCAACCUACCUCACUCGUCUAUGUGCACCAUGUGUUAUAAAGGGUGAACAAGAAAUAUCCACUUGGAUUAUUAAUGGUUUAGGUUUUAAGUUGAACCAUGUUUGUUACUAGGCUACUGCCUAAUCAAGUAAUUUGACCCUUUGUAUUGAUGUAACCUAGUUUCAACUUACUCAGCCUCCAAAAUUUUGAUAAGAAAGACUCUCAAAAUUGAAUUUAGGGUAAGUGCAAGUAUGAGGUACAAGUAUGCACAAGGGUUCCUGUUUUUUUUUUUUUUGGUAAAUUUUUCAUUCUAACCCAUCCUUUACCACCCAUAUAUCAUCACAUCCUAUUCAUAUAAUAUUCAAUAACUACUCACCCCCUGACCUAACCUAAACAUUGUCCUUAAUGUUUUCAAGUAAUAGAGAAUAAAGGUAUGAAACAAUUCAACAAUGAGGAAAAAGAAGGGGGAGAUGGAAGGAUAUCCUCCCAUAGCACUGGUGAAAGUAGAAGGAUGACUUAGAGAAUUAUUUAAAAGCUAUAAAGCGAAAUAAAUAUAAAAUAAGACAAAUAAAAUAAAGAUAGGUAGGCAUUAUUUUAUUUUAUUUUAUUGUUUAAAAAUGGAUCCAAAAUAGGUGCGAAAGGUUAACUUGUUUCUUGUUAAAUAUGAGUUUGAUGGUCCCAUAACUCCAUAACAUCAAUGGGUUGUUUAAUUUUUGCACUGAAAUUAAGAGAAUAAACACGUUGAGAAUAUUCCCCUUUCAUUUAUUUUUCAGGAACUUCUUUUUUGGAACCAUGAAGAUGAUCAUAUGUAAACAGUAUUAUAUGUUAUGGAAAAAAGGAAAAAGUCGAAGUGAUAUGCUAAUUCUGAUGGUGGUGGAGGUGGUGAGAACUGAGAAGAUGGCUGUGAAGGUGGUAGUGGUGGUGGUGAAAGUCCAAGCCUCCGCCAUUUUCCAAAGGGUAAGCCAUCUGAUCAGACCAUUUUUCAGAUGGGCUUUUUGUCAACUCGAGCAAGGAGUCCCUGACAUGGUCAGCUUGAACCAUCUCACUGUCCCUCUUCUGCUACCAAGAUGAGAAAAUCAACAGAUACACAUGAAAAUAAUUUAUCAAACAGUUGAUGAGAAGUGUUCAAGGGUGGCCUUACCUCUACUUUGAACACAUUAGAAACCAGGCCUUUGCAGCUUGUUACAUUUGCAUUUGUCACUUCCAAGCCUAGAGAGCUCAGAGCCUCCAUCAGCCUCGCAAACCCGCCAGCCUUGUGCUCACAAAACACCUUAACGAAGAACUCAUUGCCUUCUAUCUGAGCCACUUCCACUUGGGGCUGCAGCAUAGUUUCAACUUUCACUUCCAAUUGAACACACAGAAAAGAGAAUCACAGAAUGGAAACAAUAAAUAUCAUCAAGUACCUCCAUCUGCUGUGCUUUGUCAUUGUUGAUUUGAUCAGUUUCAUGGUUUUGCUUAGGGAGCCUGCAGGCACUGCCAUUGCCUGCUUCUCCCAUAUGAAUCCCGUUUUGAGCUUCUUCAUUUUCAGUUUUAGACCCAAUGUUAACUCCUGAUCCAUCAUUGUUCAGAAUUUCAGAUUGGACAUUGUUAUGGUUGCUGUUGAUGCCUGCAUUAAUCUUCCCCCCUUCAUCGUCUGAAUGCUCUUCCAGCUCAUCUUGAAGAUCCUUUGCUUGUUUCUGCAACUCCUUCACAAAUUCUAUUGCAUCACCCAGAAUUGAAGCUCUAUCCAACUAGGAAUCAAAAAUACAUCAGAUAUCAGUAAAAAGUACUAAUCAUAGUGUGAAUUAAUCUUGAAGAAUCUUGACCAGGCCAAAGAAGAAUGACAGCCACCUUAGAUAUUUUGGGAACCAAAGCACGAAGCGCAUAGAGUCUAUCAUUAAGCUUCUUCCUUCGCCUCCUCUCAGCGACCAAGUUUUUUGAUUGAGUCCCUUUUCCAGUCCUCCUUCGGUACUUCAAAUCAUCAUCAUCAUCAAUCUGAUCACUGCAGUCUGAUACUGAAUCAGCUUGGUUUGCCAUUUGUUUAGUACUCGAAUCCUUAUCAUCACCCAGCUGCUCCUUGUUUGCUAGAGGCUCCAUCAUUUCUCUAUGCAUGUUUUUGGAAUUGUUAGUACACACCAUCAUGGAUUUCUGCAUUGCCUCCAUCUCCUGAAAUCCACAAUCUGAGGACAUAAAGGGGUUAAUCACCUUCUCUGAAAGAAAUGAGCCAUCGGAUCCUUCAAAGAAGAUAUCAUUCUUGACGCUACUCUCAGAGGUGUAACUGAAUUGCUGCAAGAAGUUCAUGGGAGAGCUGCAUAGGCGGAUUCGUUCAACUGAGAUGUCAAAUGGCAGAUCAUUCAAGUUCUCCAAUGCUGUUACUGGGGAAAUUGUUGCCUGGAAAUGAUUGUUGGGAUCCUUUUCCUCAUCUGCAUUGCCUGCAUUGGCAUUAACUGAGAAGAUUGUAUCAAUAUUGCUUGAAUUCAUCAUGGCUUCCUGCUCCAUCAAGAUUAUGUUGCACUGUGUUGUGACGAAGUUUACUACGUGUUGAUCCUCAGCUACCUAUUUCAAUAAAUAAAUGAAGUUACCAAUUUCAUUUUCAUCAUGAAAAGAUCAUUUUUCUUCAAAUCAACCUGAAAAUACUAUGUUAAGAACUGAUCAGGCACAAUUUGAUGCAGCUAAUUAAUAUUUUCAACAUUAUACGAAACAUUAAUAGUACUUGAUUAGCAACAAACAGUUCAAUUAGUCCUCCCAGCACUGGAAUCAAGAGCCUGGUCCCAACUGUUUCCUGCAAAAACCCAAGUGGAAAAUCAUUAUCUCGAUUGGGGAUAUGGCCUAGUUUAAAUAGGAAUUUGGAAUACUACUCACUUCGAGAACGCUUGAAUCUGAACUAUUACAGAAGUUGAGCCAUCUGGGUUGGUUUGAAAUCAAGGUCUGUCCAUGAAUGCUGCUUAUAAGCAUCUAUGUCAGGUGAAGUUUUAACUGUAUGUCAUUUAAGGCGAAAAGGCUGAAAAAAAGGGAGAUACCCAGAAUCUAGGGAAAUAGAAGAAGGCAAUUGGGCAAGAAGAUCACAAGAUUUGGUUCUUGGAUGCUGCAACAUGGCAUCCCUGCAAGGAAGUACACUGGAAACAGGAAAAAGAAUCUCCUCUUCACCAUUUUGAGUACUGUUUUCGCUUCCAGCACAGCAACAAUCCAUCCAGUCCAGAAACCUAAAACAAAACCGAAUUAUGAAUCAUGAGCUGAUCACAAAUAGCACAAGACAUAGAUUGAAGCUUUUCACUCAACCUUUGAUCUUCACUUAGUUUCCAAAGAACACAGUAGUCCCAGCUUUUCAAUCCCACAAGAGGCCUCAGCCUCUCCUUGAGGCUCUGCACCAUGUUGACCAUUUCUCCUGUAAUUAACAUCAUGCCCACUUCAAAAAACCUGCAUUAAACACAAUUCCAUGACAAACUAUCCAUUGCCAAAAAGUUUAAGCUACCAGAUAACUAGACAAAAAUGAAUAUUAAGCUUGAAUAAUCCUUGGGACUAAGAAAAAACAAAAGAAGAAAGCAAUGAAAAGGAGAAGAAACAAAAGCGAAUAUCCAUACAAACUUGGAUUACUUGAUAGCAAUAGGUAACUGCAACAUCAUCCAAGAGACAGCACCCACUUCAUCCAAGAAAACCCCAUCUCAGCAAAUGGGCUGAGAGAGGUAAAAGCAAAAGCUCAAAUUCUUCGUUAGUCUAAAAUCUUUGGUUUUAUAUUUGGGGUUUUGGCUUUUACUUUGGUAGGUGAAGUGUAGUGCAUGCAUGAGAGAGAGGGUGAGAGUUUUGUAAAGAAGAUAAGAAAAAACGGAAUAUAAAAAGGAUAUAUGAGAAGUAAUGAUGGAAGGGCGUAUCGUGUGAGCUAAGAAGGCGUACAAAAGCCUAACUAAUUCGGUUAUAUAUUCUUUCGUCUCUCAACUACUCUCCUACUUUGAAUCAUAUUGAAAACUACUCUAAAAGAAUCUUCUUCAAUUGGAUAUGUCUUCCAAUGUAAAUAAGCAAAAUAUUCUAAAUUAUCAAAGUUCUAAGAUAAUUGUAGUAUCACGUAUUUAUAUUUUGGAAAAAAAAAAAAACGAAGUUACCAAAGAGGUACUUAUUCAAUUCCUCGUAUUCAUAAUUGAAAAUGCACAAAAAGAAAAAAAAUCUAACUCGUUUGGAUGAAGCUAUAAAUAAUAUGAUUAAAGUAUAAAAAAUAAGACUAAAACAUAAAUGAAAUGAAAUCAAGUUACAAAGCAGUUAGUAUAAAGUAAUUAGGCCUAAAUGCAUACGUAAUAUAACUUAAUUAGUCACACUUUUCUGAAGGUACCUCUCAAGCAAUCUAAUCAAAUCUUUAUAUCUUUAGUACCUUGAUUGUGUUAUCAUAUUUUCACUUACACUAGAGGUGUAAUUUGAUUGAAUUAACCUAACUCAACAUGAAGUUUGGAUGAAUUUGAGCAAUCAUCUUUUAAUACUCGAGUUGAGUUUGGGUUAAGUUUUUUUAACCCGAACUGAAGUUGGAUUUGGAUCAAAAUUUAAACAACCUAAGCCUAACCUGAAUUUGAUUUAAUAUUUUUAUAAUAUUACAAAAAGCUUUUUCACUAGUAGCCAUAUUCAAAUCCAUCAAAGCGUUCCUAUCUAUUGUGGUGCAUCUCAUUUAUGAGAUACAACAAUUAGAUAUCGAGAUAACAUUCUUGAAAGGUCAUCUUAAUGUUAGUAUCUAUAUGAUGCAACCAGAUAUUUUCAUAAUAAAGGGUUUUGUUUGUACAAGAAGACAUAGUGAAAGCAUAGUGGUGCUUUAAGAUCUUGUAGGUAGAUGACAAUCUACUCAUUGGGAAUAAUAUAGAGACAUUGUCACUAGUCAAAAUUUGUUGUCUACUUAGUUCUAUAUGAAAAUCUAGUAGGCACAAUAAAUUCUUGGGAUUAAGGUCCUUAUAGAUGCAAGAUUAUGAAAAUUUUGUUAUGCUAUAUCAUCUACAUUAACAAGCAUUUGUUCAAGUGCAUGAUGCAAGAUAAAAAGGGUUGCUCCAUUUUGGUUUAGAGUUAUCUUUCUCAGAUUAAUUAGUAUCAUUGGACAUUUAAGGAGAUAAUACCUUAUUGGCACAAUUUAUGAGAGUUGAAUUAACUCUUAGUUCAUUUAUAUGCAUAUAAGGAUGUUUUGAUAAUUACAAAAGAUUGUAUAGGGAUUAGUAAACAAUAUUUUUGAAUUGAGCUAAUUAAUUAAUUAGAAGAUCAUGUAGAGUUAAUUAAUCAAUUAAAAUCUUAUUUGGGCUAGAUUAAGUGAUCUAAGCCUAUGAUGGACUCAAGUCACUUAAACCCAGUUAGGAACCCUAUAAAAUACCCCCUUAAGGCUAAUGGUUUCUAUACUUUAGUCUUCCAUCAUCUAAUGAGAGAAAAUCCUAGCCUCCACCCUCCCAAACCUCUCAUCGUUUGUGUGCUAAAGAAAAAAGGAGAGCCAUCGGGUAGGAGAUCUUAGGUUCACAAAACUUCCAAUGGCUAUAAGAUUGAUCUUCAUCGAAAGGAAUUGAUUUGGGAAUAUCCAAAUUAGAGGUAUUGUUUUCUAAAGCACUAUUAUAUAUCUUUUUAAUGUUAAAAAUGGUCUUUAAUUUUUGCUUUUGUUGCAUAAUAUCUAAAUGCCUCAGGUAGUUUUUAUGCGCCUAACUUGAUCAUAGGAUAAAAAAUAGAGUGAUUCGGGAUUCCUUUCAAUCUUAAAGACACGUGAUCAGGAAAUUUAUGAUCGUUAUAAUUCCUUAACUGGAAUUUGACAUAUGCUCUUAGAGAGUUAAAGUAUGUCAAGUGAUUAUAUUAUAGAAGGAUUUGAGACUCAAAGAUUUGAGAGGUUGAUAGCAUCUACCUCAUUAGAUUACAAACACCAAUUCAUAGGAACUCUGCAUGCAAUGAAUAGUAGGUCAUAAACACAAGUUUACAUCUCAUUUUAAUAUCAUAAGAUAUUGGAGUACAAUUGGCUCUCUAUAAUAGGAUGUUGAUUCAACUUCAGAAUUAGAUUUUGAGUUAGUAUUUUCUUAUAGGUCUCAAUAGUACUUCAUGCUCAUAUUCCUUGGUGGUACAUUUAUCGAGGGAUAUUUAGGUUCCUUAUUCAUAUAUAUAUAUAUAUAUAUAUAUAUGCAUAAAGAUGUUUUCGUAAAAACACAAGGUUGCUUUAGAGUCUAUGAAUGGUCUUUUUUUUAUUAUGCUAAUUAAUUAAUUAAGACCAAAUGGGAUAGAUUAAGUGACCUAAACCAUAGAUGAGUGUGGACCCGUAUUUUUCAUCUGUGUUCCUAGUUAAUGGUGAGACUUGCUUUUUAUUAGUGAAAAUUUGAUUUUUGAAAAAGUUAGUCUCCACUUAUUUUAGUUUAUUUUUAAAAAGAAAAUAAAGUAAGAAAGAAAACUUUGUGUAAUUCCUUAUUUGAAAAAAUGACAAGUUUGUAAACCAAAAAUGGAUUUAGGAAUUAAGUUGCCUAUUGGGAAAGUAUGGUAAUAAGUUAUAGCAGCCCUUUAACCUUGUAUAUCUAUGGUCUCUACUAGACAAAUGAAGAAAAUUAUGACAAUUGAUUAAUUAAACAUGAAUAUUGAAAAAAAAAACACAAUACAAGCAAACAUACAACAUGACAUUAGCUAAAAAAUAAAUUACAAGAAUAUAAAAAACUGAUAUAAGCUAAAAGCACAAAAUGAUUUAUUAGAAAAUAUGUUUAUUAUUCCAAAUGUCAUAACACAAUUUUAAAGAAAAUUCAAUUGUUUAUUUACAAAUAAAGUUCAGUUUAUUAACAAAUGAUUUGAUUUAUUUAUUCAAAUUGAAAGAGGUGUUUUUUUAUUUAUUUAUUUAUUUAUUUAUUAGAAGAGUUUAUUGAAUAAAAUUUCAUUUAAAGAGAAAAGUUUGAAUUUGAUUUUAUUUAUAAAAAAAAUGAUUUUUAUUUAUUUUUACUAGAAAAAGAAUGAAUUUUUAUGAUUCUAUUUUCAAGGAAUUCAAUUCAAUUUUUGUUUAAAGACUUUUUUUUUUUACAAAUAAUUAAAAGAAAGUGAUUUUUACAAAAUCAUUUAUAGAAAGAAAAUUCUAAUUUGAUUUUAUUUACAAAGAAAUUGAUUUUUAUUAGUGAUUUUAAAAAGCAUCAAUUUGAUUCUUAUUUUGGGAAAAAAAUUAUGAGGAAAAAGGUUUUAACCAAUUUAUUAAAAAAGAGAAAUUUCAAUUCAAAUUUUAUUUAAGAACAAGUGGCUUUCCUACAAAGUAUUAAAAAAAACUUAACAAAUUUAUUAAAAAGUAAUCUUUUUCUAAAUUUAUUUAGAAAAAGAAUUUCACAAAUUUAUUUAUUUUUCUUUAUUUACAACAAGAGAUUCCAUUAAGAAAUAUUUUUUCUUUUUACAAAUCCUAUUUACAAAAAUGAUUUCACAAUCCAAUUUUUAUUAAAGAUUUUUUUAAAUACAACUUUCAUUUCCAAUCCAAUUUUUGUUUCAGAAAAGAUUUUAUUUCAACUUUUAUUUUCAAUCAAAUUUUUAUUUUAAUAUUUUUUUACCAAUUUACUCAAAAAGGAAUUUUACAAAUUUAUUUCAAGUCCAAUUUUAUUAAGAAAGAAAUUUUGAAUUUUAUCUAUAAAAAAAUUGUUUACCAAUUUAAUAAAAAAUGUAUUUCAAUUUAAUUUUUAUUCAAAAUGUUUUUACAAAUUUUAUUUCUGAAAUUAUUUACAACUCAAAUUUUUUAUUUAAAAAGAGAUUUUUAUUUGAAAAGAAAGAUCUUGACAUUUUUACAAUUUUAUUGAAAGAAACUUUGUAGUUUUUUGUUUUUUAAAGCAUUUCUAGUUUCUAUUUGGAAAAUGAUUUUACAAAUUUAUUUUCAUAAAGUGAUUUUAUAGUUUUUAUUUGGAAAAAGUGAUUUUACAAAUCUUAUUUGAAGAAGUGACUUUGCAAUUUUAUACAAAAACUAUAAGAAUUUUGUAGAAAAGUCACUUAAUUAAAAAGAAAAAGAUUUGAAGUCUUUUUUUACUUUAAAAAAAAUUAGAUUUAUAAAUUUGAUAUUUGAAAAUACAAUGGAAUGAAAUGGAAAGAAACUUCACAAUAAACAUAUGGGAGAAUAUGAAUAAAUUAGAUAAAAUAAUAAAAAGACUAAAGAUAAACAUCAAAACUAAAAUAUAACAAACAUAUAUAUGAGAAAAAAAAAAGUACUUAAAAAAAAUAUACUGUAAACAAAUAUUCCUAAAGAUAAAUAAAAAGAAAUAAAUAAACAAGUAAGGGAAUAUACCCAAUAUUAUGCAGUGAAAGAACAAUAAAACAAAAAAAAAAUAGAGAGUAGUACUCUCCAAGCCAUCCCCAUUGCUUAAACCCUUAGGGUUCUUCACUUCAUAUAACCUCCCAUGGGAAAAUCCAACCCUCCAUGUGUUUAGCAUUCAGGCUUAGCCAAAGAAAUCUAAGAAAUAGGCUCAUGCAUAGAAAAUAAGAAUAGCAUAAAUAAAUAAAUAAGUCUGACACUAAUAACAAACUAUCAUCAAAUUAGUUCAAUAAAUUUCAUCAAUAAAAAUAGGUUCAAAUGAAUAAAUGAAACUUAAUGAAAAUAUCCAACAUACCAUAGUCCCAAAUCCAAAAUUCCAAUUAAUAACCAAUACAACGUAUCUACAAUCCUAAGUUCAAUAUUCAUAAAUAAUGCACUAUGAAGAUCAAGAAAUAAUAAUAAAUAAAAUAAAUAAAAAUAAGGAAAUGAGGACUUAUCUUGAAACCCAAAUAAAGAAAAAAUGGUGGUAGUGGACUUGAAAAGGGUGGUGUCAUGUGAUGAUAGUCAUGGAAGCAUGUGGUGUGGUUAACGGAUAAGAGAAUGAGAAACAAAGAAAACAGGUGUAGAAGAAAUAGGAAAUGAAAGAGAGAAAGAUAGAGAAACAGAGAAAAAAAAAAGAUGAGAAGGGAAGAGAAGUGUCAUCGAUCAAAGAGGCUCGUCGGUGGUGAUUAGUAGCCGAGAUAGUCACUGGUAGGAAGGCACAGUGAAGGUAGGGUGGUGAAGAAUGGUAGCAAUACAAAAUGGGAAAGAAAAGAAAUAAGAGAGAGAAAGAGAAUACAUAGUGAAAUGAGAAAGAGUGAGAUGAGAUGAAAAAGAGGACUGUUGGUCAACAUCGUAGAACUGCUAGUGAUGCUACCAACAUCAAAGUAGUGGCUGGCCAUGGAGGUGGUGGUGGGUGUGGAGAAAGAAAAAGGAAAAGAAAUGAAAGAAGAGAAAGGAAAAGGAAAAAGGAGGAGAAAUCCCAAUGGGAGUAGGCAACUGAAGAUGGAAAGAAUGUGUGGUCUUUAGGGUUUUAGAUGAAUGAAUGGUGUAAAUGAAGGGGAAAAUGAAUGAUCAAGAUGGGUUCUUCUAAAAUGGGUAUAAAAUUUGGUAGUCUACAAUGGACUCAAGUCACUUAAACCCACAAGGAAACCUAUAUAAACCUCUUUUAAGGUUUUAAGGCUUGAGACACUCUUGACAUUCAGUUUUUCAAAGAGGAACCCUAGUCUCCACCCCUUCAAAAGGGGAUUCCACCUUCUUACAUGUUAAGAUUCAGGAAAAAAAUAUUAUUGAGUUGAAAGCUUAUUGGCUUUUUACACCCGUUACACUUCUUUGUAGAUUGGAAACAAUUUAGGAACAUUCAUAUCAUAAUUAUUGCAUCUAAACUCCAAAACUAAAGUUUUUAAUAUUAACGUUUACCACUCUAUAUUGAUUUGGCUCAAGGUAUAUAUAACAAUGAUAAAACCUUACAUAAAUAGAAUUUAAGAAUCACUAGGAAUCCAUGAUAUCAAAGAAUAGACAAUUGUAUCAUCCUCCAAGCUAAAAUUAGAGGGCAUUUACUUUUCAUACCAAUUCCUUAGCCCCUACUUUAUUUCAUUAUUGAGUUUAACUAUUCCCAUUAAAUCCUACUUUAGCUUUUCAUAUUUCAUAUCCCAAGAAAGCCUUUUAACCUCUCAUAGGUGUGUUGUCACCUACACAAUCCAUUAAAGAAAGAUAAAGAGUUAUUCUUGAAAAUUAAAGAAUUCAAAAGCAAUAUAUUGAUUGAUAAUAAUUGAGAAAGAAAUACCAAGCAAGAUCCUUUUCUAUCUUAUUCUUUAAAAAAAAAAAAAAAAACUCUAAACUCUUCAAAAAAAAAAAAACUAAAAAUUUGAGUUUUUAUAGUUUGGGUAAGAACCUUACAUGUGGCAUGUUCCUAUUGGUCACUUAUUUUCCAAAAAGUGCUUAAAAAUAACUAAAAACUAAUAAAAAUCUAACUUUAGAAUGUCUGGGCCCCAUUUUGGAUUGGAGAAGUGUCAAAAUGUUUCAUAUUGAGAAUUCACAAGUAAUGUGGAAUUGGAGUAACUAAAGUCGAAAUCAAUUUUAACAUGUAUUUCAACUUGGUAAGUUAGGAAUUUUGACAUGGUAAUGUGCAUUUCAACCUCUAUUUUGAUAUGAACUUCUCAUGUCAAAAUUUUCAUUCCAACAAAAACAUCGUCAAAAUGGCUAUCCAAUUUUAACAUGAGGUUCUGUUUCUGUAUUGCUUAUUCAAGUGGCUAUAACUUCUUCAUUUUAUCUCCAAUUCAUGCACUAUUUGAGGCAUUAGAUUUUUGAAUUCUCAAGCUUCAAAUUGAUAUGUGUCCUGCUUGAAAUGAUCUUAAUGAAUCCUUCAAGAUUCACGUCAAAGUGAAAGUAUAUGCAACUAUGAGGCGAUCUUAAACUCUAAUUCCUAUAUUAAACUUCAAGUUUUAUAGCCUUUAGCUUUUCUUUUUGUGUCUCAUUAACCUUUAUAAACUUGUUUCUCAUAUCUCAUCCUUUCUCCAUUUUUAGUUGUCAAAGCUCUCAUUAUGUUUCUAUUAGGAUUGAGCCUUAGAAAGCAUGACAUAAUAUAUGAUUACUACUCAAAAAGUGCUAUUUCAUAGCUUGUAAUGAACUCUUUUGAGUAUUAGUUAACACCUUUUAACCCAAUUAACAUAUUAAGGACCCUUGCAAUCAAUUCUAAUCAAAUUGUGUUAAGUUUUGGUGUUUUGAUAGCUUUUUUAUCACCAAAGCAAUCAGAGAUUGAGGAGAGUUCUUUGGAAUGCAAGAAGUAAAAGAUGUUCGGACACACCAUCGGAUGGCGGCGGAAGUCAAUGAUCCGGACAACAUAUCCGGAUAGGAUAUGCUAUCGUCCGGGUGUGAUGUUCACGAGUGUCGUGUGCCUCUUCCUGAGGGAGUCCGGAUAGGGGGAGCGCGCCACAUGUCCUCUUGGGGAAUCCGGAUGGAGUUGAUCCGGAUAGCCUUGCGCGCUCCGUGUCAUCCAGGAGAGGGGUCCCUACACCUUGCACACGCAGAUGGUCCCCCUUGCGCAGCAUAGCUCAGUCCACCCGGGGAAGAAUUCCGUGCGCCAACAUUUCAUAUCCGGAAUUCCGUGCGCCGACAUUUUACAUCCGGAUAUCUCACAACCGGAUGGGAGAGGAGGACGUUUCAACUUCUCUAGUCAGACAUAUCCGGAUCCUCUGAUAGCGCUUACCAGGAGAGUUUUUCUCUCAGUAUGUAGUACUGCGGUGUUCUCCUGAAGCUUCCUGAUAUUUCUGACCGACAUCUUGAGAUAUUUCCGACCGACAUCUUGAGAUAUUUUGUUUUAGAUAUUUGUUGUCUAAAUCCCCAAACUCUCCUUGUAAUCCACCUAUCAUAGGAUUCCUUAGUCUUUAAGUAAGUACAAAGGGUGAAUAACCUCAUAUAUAUAGUUUGUAAUUUUCUUUACAAAGGGAUCGAUCAUGUAAUUAGUGAAAGGAAGAAAUAUAAUUCACAGAGCACUUGCUCUGUUUUUCCUUCAUAUAAUUGUUUUCUCGUUAGUUUUCUUACUAGCCAAACAAGCUUUGAGGAAGUUUCCUCAGAGAAUGAGUGGCUAGACUUUUAGUUCCUUGGAGUUAAGGUUGCCGGGAAAGGUUCCAAGUGCAUGAAUUAGUAGCUUUGUGGUUUCAGUCAUUAAUGAAGAGAAAGUGUGAUCCUUAAAUGAUUUCUAUGUUUUUAGUUAACAUAAAACACCUUCAAGUCACUUGAGCCAACACUUGGUAAGGCACGUGAUCUCCGUCCAUGAAGAUGCACUUGUUUAUCUCUUGCAAGCUUUUGGGAAGUGACUUGGAGGUAGGAUUUUCUAGAAUUGCCAACACUUGGUAAGCUUUUGGAUUACAAUGAGACAUCCAUUAGUUAUCUCUUGCGAGCUUGAGAAAGGAAGUCCAAAGUUAAAGAUCACCUUGAAUGGCAAAUGCUAGGUGAGAGGCACGAGCCAUUACAAGUUGCAUCAGUGAGAGAGAAUUAGAGUUGAAAUCCAUUUAAAGGUUACAUCUGUACAACACCGGUUAGAGAAUUGACUAUAUGUUAAUUCUCUAAUGCGAGGAAAUGAACCAAAUGACCAGAGCUCUGUUUUUGCAUAAGGAACCUUCCCUGUGAACCUAAACCUCCAAGGAAUGUUUUUCUUCAUAAGUAAUUUCCAUUACUUUCUUUUUGGUUAGUUUAAGACCAAACCCUUUUCACUCAAACAUCUUUAUGUUUUCUUUUAAAGCUAACCUUGAAAUGAAAAAGUACCAACUCAGCUUUGAAUUGGUAUCAGUGGAGAGUUGAAAACCCUUCCCAGUGAAUGCUCCUAGAGCCACUAUACUAUAUUAGCUAAAGCUAUCCUAAUGCAUGGUGAUAUAGGUUAUAAAUUUUGUUGAUCACUUCCUCAGUCAAGGAGCACCAGCUGGACAUGAAUCAGCUGAGACACCAAUUGGGAACGAAUCAAUAUAACAGAGUAAUAUUCAUUUAUAUUUAUUGAUAUAUAUUUCUUGGUUUCCCUUUAUUAUCUCAUAUGUGUUAAUUGAUUAUUUAAGCAUACACGCCCUACAUCACUUACAUUGUACAUGAUUUGGGUGCAUUAAAAGUUUCAUAGAAGAUCUAGGUCAUGGGUUUUUUUUAGGAUGAUGAGUUGUCUAUAGUUGGUUCAUGAAUUUAGGCAAUCAAUUUAAGAUUAUAAUGCACUACCUCCUGAUUGAAGGGAUGACUUAUCUUAGUCAUCGAGAUGGUUUUUUCAUGGUGAACACAAUAAUAUAUGUGAUGCACAUUGAAUAAGACUUAUAAUGAAUCAUGAUUCAAGGCUAUCUUGAUAGGUGAUAACACUCUCUUCUUAGAUUAUGGAUAUUAGUUCAUGGGGAGUCUGCAUGGAAUAAAUAUUAAGACACAAACCCAAGCUUUCGUUUUAUUGUAAUAACAUAGGAUACUAAAGUGCAAUUAAUUUUCUUUAGUGGAAUGUUAAAUCAACUUCAGAAUUGGAUUUUGAGGAAGCCAAUAUUUUUUUAUGGAUCCCAAUAGUUCUCACUCGAACUUCUAAAUCAAGGAAACACAUUUGUUUUAAGGAUAUUAGGUUUUAGGGUUCAUAAGUGUGCAUAAGAGUGUUUUGGUAAAAAUACAAGUUGCACUAGAUCAUAGAAAUUAACUUUUUGGCAUAGGUUAAUUAACUAAUUGGAGCCCAAUAGGGCUAAUUAAUUAAUUAGGAUCCAAGUGGGCUAGAUUAGGUUGUCCAAGCCUAAUUGAACUUAAGUUACUUAAGCCCACUAAGAGUCCUAAUACCCCUAAGGGUUUCCUACACUCUUUUACUGUCUUUUUCCAAAGAGCCUCCAUAGAGAUUGAGAAACCCUACUUUUCAUCUAAGAGAGAAAAGUCCACUAUUUUCUUGUGCCUAGAGUGUUUUAAGGAGAGAUCAUUGGAAGGCUAAUAGGUAGACAACAUCUCCUACGAAUUCAGACUUGUUCUUCACCGCAUAAAUUAGAUUUGGGAACAUCUAGAUCUAGGUAUGGUUUCUUUUUUCUAGAUUAUUAUUUUAUUUGAUUUUUUUUUACCAUUGUUUCUACUAGAAUAGUUUCUAGAGAAGCCUAGGGUAGAUUACUUGCUCUCUAUUCGAUCCAGGGUAAGGAAACGAAUAAAUUCAGAGUUCUCAUCAGUUUCACAUUCUUAGAGCUUCUUCUAAACAUAUUUGGCAUCUUUUCUACCAUGAAUGACUACUCUUGCAACUUGUAUCUUUAAACCUAAGAUUUAACUAAAGAUGUAUCUUAGAUAGACAAAGUUUUUAUCAAUAAUUCAAAUUAAGUUGAGUGAGUUGAGCCUUUAUAUUGCAUAACUAAUUCUCAAUAUGUGCCAUUAAAACACAAUUUGUGGCUCUAAUUAACUAGGAAGCAUCUAUUGGAGUAAAUUGACAAUAAAUUGAUAGAAUCAAGAAAUUUUGAUAUGGAAAGUGGAAGUGAAAGAGAAAAUUCAUUUCAACAUCAAAUCAACAAUAGAGGACAAACCAAUAUCAUUUUCUAUGUCAAACUCCUUUAUGUCCCUUUUAGUAUUGCAUUCUCAAUCUAUUACCCUCGGAUAUUUGGAGAUUAACAUCCGAUGUUGAAAUUUCAAUAGAGAAUCGAUUCUAAAGUUGAUUUCAACCCAAUGUCAACUUAUUAUGACUUGUUUCCUUCUUUAAAAUUGCUUCUUCAUGAUUUUUUUUUUGUCAGUUUUAUAUUAUAUUUAGACUGUUCCUUGUAGGAUUAGGGUUAGGAUUUAUUUAUAUAUUUUAUGAUUAUUAAUAGGGAUAUAAAUGGGUUAAAGGAGGAUAACCUUUAAAACUUUAGUAUAUUUUAAACAAUUUUAUAAUGAAGGAAUAAGCCAAUCUUGGGUGCCAUGAUAUCAAUCCUUUCCUUAUCAUGGUAUAGAACUUUGGCAAGUAUUAGGUUGUUUCUAUCAAGCUUUAACUAAUGAACCUUAUCAAACUUUAGACAUAAUAUGUGAAGAGAGAAUUGUAAAGAUGGAAUCAACAUUGGCCAUGUACUUGUUGGAUUAUCUUACAUCAUGUACUAUAAAUCUUGAUCUUAUUUCUAAAAAAAACGAUAUGAGUUUGUGAAUGAAAAUGUUAACCCUAGCUAGAAGGGAGACACUCAAUCUCCUUCUAUUGCAUCAUCAAAUUCUCUUACUAUAUGAGGGUUCCACAUGAUCAACAACCCUUAGAAAAUGUGCAUAGUGAAUACGUACAUAUAGACCCAAUUAGAGGUAAUAGUCAACUUGGAAGCAACCGGUGUUGAGAUGGAAAUUAUCAAUGUCAGACCAAGUGAAUUUACUAACCAAGUAACUCAAGUUUUGGCUGAAUUUGCGCUUGAGACAAAUACCUUUUUCUAUCAUUGAAUACAAUCAGAAAAGUGUUGAAUGAAACUUAAGCUUAAUUAUCUAAAAAUAUUGAUGAGUUUGAUGUUAUGGGCCUUGUCACUAUUGCACAGGAUUUUGAACUUGAAAUUUUUUCUGAAAAUGUGCAAGAGUUCAUUUACAAAUAACUCACUAAUAUUGGGAGGGGUGAUACUAAUCAUCAAAUACACCAUGAGCAUACUAAUAAUUCUUCUUAUGAGUAUAAUGUUCACACACAAAACCAAUAUUUUUUCAUAUAUAAAAGAAGGUUUUUAUAGAAAAAUUGAAUGCAAAUCAUUACCUUUUAAUUUAAAUGUAUGCUAAGUCCCAAAUUACUUACCCAAACAUAAACUAAGUUCUCACUUAUGACCCAUGUAACAAGCUACACCAAGUAAGAAGGAUAGAACAAUUAGCUCAUAUGGAGGGCUCUCUAAUUUAAAAGACUACAAAUUGUCUAGGAUUCAAAGAAUGAUUAUAUUUAUUAUUGUAGUGGAAGGUAAUAAAAAAAGUCUUGAUAGUGGUUCCACUACUAAUAUAUCUACUGGUUUGAUCCUAAAUAUAUUUAUUUAGUGAAGAAUGUUGAAAAUAAAAAAUAAAAAUCGGAGGACCCAAGGGCAAUGGAAGUAAGGUGAAGGAGUUGAAAAUGCAUGAGAGUGCACAAGAACAUGAAAAGACAAGAAAAAUGUCAAAUUGAUACCCUAGAAUGCAAAUUGAUACCACGUUGAUUCCGACAUCAUAUAUUUAAUUUGACAAGAUACAAUAUGAGUGGAUGUAAAACAAUAUCUAUGCCAACAUAGAAAGAUAUUACACUUAGCAAAUCACCAAGUCCAAAUAAUAAAGAUGAAAUUAAGUAAAUGAAAAAUAUUCGUUAUGUGCAAGUAGUUGAAAGUCUAAUUAUACAAUGACUAGUACUAGGUCGGAUAUAUGUUGUAUCAUGGUAUUAGUUAGCAUAUACUAAACUAAUCUUAGCGAAGAGCAUUGGCCAGCUAUUAAAAGAGUAUUAAGAUAUAUUUAAGGUACUAAGAAAAAUAAACUAUGUUUUACAUAAGGUGAUUAAAAAAAUUAUGGGUAUUCGUAUGCAAAUUUUACCAGGGACCAUGAUGACUAAAAAUCUACUAGUGGUCAUACACUUUUAUUUAGAGGAGGUGCAACAUCAUGGUUAAGUAAAAAAGCAAACUUAUGUUGCUAGGCAUACAAUAGAAGCUAAAUAUGUAGCUUAUAGCUAGUAUGGCAACCACCCAAGCCUUUUGGAUUAAGCACUUAGCUGACAAUUUGAUAGUUAAGAAAUCAAGAGUUUAAGGUCAAAAUAGUAUUUUUGAAGAAAAAUAGCCAAAGUAGAUAUUCUCCCGAAAUAUUUGUCAAUCUAAUCUUUGCUAUCACAUGUUCAUUCAUGUAACUUUUUUUUUUUUUUUUGAGUAUAUAAAACCACAAUUGGUCAUUGUGAUUUUAGUUUUAAAUUUAAAAUCACAGUUACUAACUGUAAUUUUUAAAACAACAUACCACUUUAACAAAUAUUUUCAAUAUGAGAUUGAUAAUUUUUUUAAAAAAGAAAAACUACUUUGACCGAAAACUCAAGAAAACAAUUGAGCUUGUGAAUUUGCUGUGUGAUCAUAUGACUACAAUAUAUCAUUUAUUUGACACAUCAAGUUCAAAAGUGAAACACAUUCAUGUGAGUUGAUAGAUUGGAUUGAUUGGAUUAUAGUUUUCCAUAUAAUUGAAAAGUUGUAAAUCUUUGUUAAAGAUUCCAACUUUUUAAAAAGGGAUGCAAUAGUUGAUUGUCAAAAGAUAUUUAUCUAAAUAUUUAUCUAAUUAAAUAAGUGUCUUUUCAAUGGCUAUGUGUUAAAAUUGAAACAUUGUGAUUGAAUAGAUAUGAGAAUAUAUUUGAAAAAGCAUAACUUUUAGUAUUAAUAGAUACAUGUAAGUCAAAUUUGUAGUUCUCUCAUUCAUAUCUAUAAUAGGUUUCUAUUGAUUUUGUAAGAGUCAUACUUCGUUUUCUUCUAUUUUUUUCCCCUUCUUUGACAAUGUCUACACAAUAGCCUCCCACCAAUAGUCCAUCCAAGAUAUAACAUCAGAAAAACUUUCUUGACAAAUUGGGCAGAUCAAGAAAACAACAGUAACUAUUGCAGCAGAAGCUUACAAAUUAUAAAUAGGAUCAACACAAUUUUAGGAAGAAGGCAUUUGGUAGUUGCUAUUCUAUUAAAGCCACUUCUGAUGAAUAAAAGCAGUUGAAAGUUGGUGUAUCAUUUUUGUUGGAUGUCAUCACAUAUGGUGAUUGUGGUAAAUGAUGAAAUAGUCAAUGUUUUCAUAAUUCAAUCAUUGGCAUUGAACUAAAAAAGUUAUUAAUUUAUAAUUUAUAAAUUUGAUAAGUAGUGAAAUCAUGAUGUUAACAUGAUACCAUAAAUAUAUAAUUUAUAUUUUAUUAAAAUUUAAAAUAUAUAAAUUAUUGAAAACUUUAAUAAUAUUCAUUUUUUCUUUGACAUUAUUCAAUUAAAUUAUGAUAAAAAUAAAUAUAAAUGUAUUGAUAUUUUAAAUUUUAUUAAAUAAAACAUUUAUAAUAUUUAAGUAUAAAGAUAUUUUCAAAAUGAAAAGAAAAUACAAUUGUUUAUUGUUUUAUAAUUUUGGUUGAGGUUGGAAUCCCAUUGCUGCAAAGAAAUUAAUUAACUUCUGUAAAUUUCUCUAUCUUUUAUAACCUAUCGCUCAAGUACUAUGAUGGGUUAGUGAAUACUUAAUUUGGAGGUUUGAUUCAUUGACGAUUGAUUUAAUUAACUCUAUGUAGAACCCUUAAUCAAAUAUUGAGAUUAAUAAUGUUUUCAAUGUUUAAGAUUUGAAUUUGAAACAGUUUCGCAUUUUUAGAAAAUUGAGAUCCUAUUCCCGUUGAGAUCUGAUCUUAGGAGCAUACUUAUUCCCAUUGAAUUUCAUUUAUUUUGUGUUGAGAUUUUUGUUGAAACUAUGUUUUUAAAGUAUAGGGAUUGAAAGCUACAAUAAAGUAUCAAUGGGGUGACUGUUAUAAUUAUAUAGGAGCAUCAUCCAGGCCUGCACCAACUUACAAAUCCACAAGGGACUAUUUCUAUACUUGGUUUGCACUAGAUUGCAAAUUAGUGAGGAAUCAUCUCAUUGAAAUCAUCCCCAAGCCUACAUAAGCACAAAAAUGAAUAAGAGUCCAUCUUAGUCCCCAAUUGAUCCUUCCUGGUUCUUUUUAUGUUAAGCCCUUAGGUAAUUUCCAACCUUAUUUUGAUUUAGAAGUAAUUUUUUUUUUUUUUUUUUUGUAGCUCUUAUAUAGUUUUCCACAUAGGCCCCUAUUUUUAUUUAAAACUUUAGUAUAUUUUAAACAAUUUUAUAAUGAAGGAAUAAGCCAAUCUUGGGUGCCAUGAUAUCAAUCCUUUCCUUAUCAUGGUAUAGAACUUUGGCAAGUGUUAGGUUGUUUCUAUCAAGCUUUAACUAAUGAACCUUAUCAAACUCUAGACAUAAUAUGUGAAGAGAGAAUUGUUAAGAUGGAAUCAACAUUGGCCAUGCACUUGUUGGAUUAUCUUACAUCAUGUACUAUAAAUCUUGAUCUUAUUUCUAAAAAAAACGAUAUGAGUUUGUGAAUGAAAAUGUUAACCCUAGCUAGAAGGGAGACACUCAAUCUCCUUCUAUUGCAUCAUCAAAUUCUAUUACUAUACAAGGGUUCCACAUGAUCAACAACCCUUAGAAAAUGUGCAUAGUGAAUACGUACAUAUAGACCCAAUUAGAGGUAAUAGUCAACUUGGAAGCAACCGGUGUUGAGAUGGAAAUUAUCAAUGUCAGACCAAGUGAAUUUACUAACCAAGUAACUCAAGUUUUGGUUGAAUUUGCGCUUGAGACAAAUACCUUUUUUCUAUCAUUGAAAACAAUCAGAAAAGUCUUGAAUGAAACUUAAGCUUAAUUAUCUAAAAAUAUUGAUGAGUUUGAUGUUAUGGACCUUGUCAUUAUUGCACAAGAUUUUGAACUUGAAAAUUUUUCUGAAAAUGUGCAAGAGUUCAUUUACAAAGAACUCACUAAUAUUGGGAGGGGUGAUACUAAUCAUCAAAUAGGUACACCAUGAGCAUACUAAUAAUUCUUCUUAUGAGUAUAAUGUUCACACACAAAACCAAUGUUUUUUCAUAUAUAUAAAGAAGGUUUUUAUAGAAAAAUUGAAUGCAAAUCAUUGCCUUUUAAUUUAAAUGUAUGCCAAGUCCCAAAUUACUUACCCAAACAUAAACUAAGUUCUCACUUAUGACCCAUGUAACAAGCUACACCAAGUAAGAAGGAUAGAACAAUUAGCUCAUAUGGAGGGCUCUCUAAUUUAAAAGGCUACAAAUUGUCUAGGAUUCAAAGAAUGAUUCUAUUUAUUAUUGUAGUGGAAGGUAAUAAAAAAAGUCUUGAUAGUGGUUCCACUGCUAAUAUAUCUACUGGUUUGAUCCUAAAUAUAUUUAUUUAGUGAAGAAUGUUAAAAAUAAAAAAUAAAAAAUAAAAAUCGGAGGACCCAAGGGCAAUGGAAGUAAGGUGAAGGAGUUGAAAAUGCAUGAAAGAGUGCACAAGAACAUGAAAAGACAAGAAAAAGGUCAAAUCAUACCCUAGAAAGCAAAUUGAUACCAAGUUGAUUCAGACAUCGUAUAUUUAAUUUGACAAGAUACAAUAUGAGUGGAUGUAAAGCAAUAUCUAUACCAACAUAUAAAGAUAUUACACUUAGCAAAUCACAAAGUCCAAAUAAUAAAGAUGAAAUUAAGUAAAUGAAAAAUAUUCAUUAUGUGCAAGUAGUUGAAAGUCUAAUUAUACAAUGACUAGUACUAGGUCGGAUAUAUGUUGUAUCAUGGUAUUAGUUAGCAUAUACUAAGCUAAUCUUAGCGAAGAGCAUUGGCCAGCUAUUAAAAGAGUAUUAAGAUAUAUUUAAGGUACUAAGAAAAAUAAACUAUGUUUUACAUAAGGUGAUUAAAAAAAUUAUGGGUAUUCGUAUGCAAAUUUUACCAGAGACCAUGAUGACUAAAAAUCUACUAGUGGUCAUACACUUUUAUUUGGAGGAGGUGCAACAUUAUGGUUAAGUAAAAAAGCAAACUUAUGUUGCUAAGCAUACAAUAGAAGCUAAAUAUGUAGCUUAUAGCUAGUAUGGCAACCACCCAAGCUUUUUGGAUUAAGCGCUUAGCUGACAAUUUGAUAGUUAAGAAAUCAAGAGUUUAAGGUCAAAAUAGUCUUUUUGAAGAAAAAAUAGCCAAAGUAGAUAUUCUCCCAAAAUAUUUGUCAAUCUAAUCUUUGCUAUCACAUGUUCAUUCAUGUAACUUUUUCUUUUUUUUUUGAGUAUAUAAAACCACAAUUGGUCAUUGUAAUUUUAGUUUUAAAUUUAAAAUCACAGUUACUAACUGUAAUUUUUAAAACAACAUACCACUUUAACAAAUAUUUUCAAUAUGAGAUUAGAUUGAUAAUUUUUUUUAAAAAGAAAGACUACUUUGACCAAAAACUCAAGAAAUCAAUUGAGCCUGUGAAUUUGCUGUGUGAUCAUAUGACUACAAUAUAUCAUUUAUUUGACACAUCAAGUUCAAAAGUGAAACACAUUCAUGUGAGUUGAUAGAUUGGAUUGAUUGGAUUAUAUUUCCCAUAUAAUUGAAAAGUUGUAAAUCUUUGUUAAAGAUUCCAACUUUUAAAAAGGGAUGAGUAGUUGGUUGUCAAAAGAUACUUAUCUAAAUAUUUAUCUAAUUAAAUAAGUGUCUUUUCAAUGGCUAUGUGUUGAAAUUGAAACAUUGUGAUUGAAUAGAUACGAGAAUAUAUUUGAAAAAGCAUAACUUUUAGUAUUAAUAGAUACAUGGCUAGAUACAAGUCAAAUUUGUAGUUCUUAUAGGUUUCUAUUGAUUUUGUAAGUCAUACUUUUUUUCUUCUAUUUUUUUCCUAUCUUUGACAAUGUCUACACAAUAGCCUUCCACCGGGAGUCCAUCCAAGAUAUACCAUCAUAAAAACUUUCUUGACGAAUUGGGCAGAUCAAGAAAACAACAGUAACUAUUGCAACAUAAGCUUACAAAUUCUAAAUAGGAUCAACAUAAUUUUAGGAAGAAGGCAUUUGGUAGUUGCUAUUCUACCAAUGCCACUUCUUAUGAAUAAAAGCAGUUGAAAGUUUGUGUACCAUUUUUGUUGGAUGUCAUCACAUAUGGUGAUUGUGGUAAAUGAUGAGAUAGUCAAUGUUUUCAUAAUUCAAUCAUUGACACUAAACUAAAAAAAAAAAUUUAAUUUAUAAUUUAUAAAUUUGAUAAGUAGUGAAAUUAUGAUGUUAACAUGAUAUCAUAAAUAUAUAAUUUAUAUUUUAUUAAAAUUUAAAAUAUAUAAAUUAUUGAAAACCUUAAUAAUAUUUAUUUUUUCUUUGACAUUAUUCAAUUAAAUUAUGAUAAAAAUAAACAUAAAUGUAUUGAUAUUUUAAAUUUUAUUAGAUAAAACAUUUAUAAUAUUUAAUUAUAAAUAUAUUGUCAAAAUGAAAAGAAAAUACUAUUGUUUAUUGUUUUAUAAUUUUGGUUGAGGUUGGAAUCCCAUUGCUGCAAAGAAACUACUGUAAAUUUCUCUAACCUUUAUAACCUAUCGCUCGAGUACUAUGAUGGGUUACCAGCCCAUGAAAGGAUUUUCGCGCCCACGAGACCCAUACUUGGGCCAUGCACUAACUUCUCCAUUUGGGCUGCAAAACUUGUCCAAAUUGGCCCGCCUGGUCCCCCGUAUCCGUGUCCGGUUUGUUAGGACAACGAAUCAAAAGGGAGAAUCAGAUGGGAAAGAUGUCCAGGUGAUGGUCCAACCAGUUGAACUGGUUGCUUUAGUCCGAUUUUGAAAACAUUGGAUAAAGCAGCUGGGUAUACAAACUUGCUUUGGUUGGUUUACUUUUCUAUCUAUUUUUAGGCACAGAUGGCUAUUCUUGGGCUACAGCAUUACCCAUAUAAGAUCCAUAUUCUGAAAUGUAAUUUUCAACAUCCAUUGUAUUUAUACUUGACGGUCUUUCCUUGUUUAUUCUUCAUUGUAGUCUCAUGCUCCUCUGCAACCAGCUUUCUUGUCCACAUAAAAUGUGGUCUCUUGAUUGAAAUUACUCCACUGGUUGCUCUAAUAAGGAUGGUAGAGGCAUGAAAUAUUCUGACAAUUUCUCUUGUAGUUGGGGAGUUGACCUAAAAAGCAAGAACAUACCGCACCUGUAUAGGAAGUUCCUGAAGAGAAGAAGAAGAAGAAGAAGAAAGGAAAAUAAAAAUAAAAAUAAAAAAACAAAACAAAACAAAAACCUUGGAACGUGAACAGUUAGCCAAUUAAAAUUGCUGUAGUUGAUUAGAUGUGUCCAAAAAAAAAUAACUAACAAUUUUUUACCAAUUAUAUGAUUUAAAAGACCCUAAAUCAUAAUUAAUCUCUCCAAUUUAAAUGUUCAAGCUGUGGUAGGUGAAAAGUCAUUCCUUCUAGAGACGUCUCACCUACUACGAUAAUAAAAGCAUUUUUCAAGCAUUGCUCUGGUUCAAAAUGCGCACCAGCGUUUCCCCCUCAAGGACUGUUGCUCCAUCUUUGCUACUAGCACUGAUGAAGAUCAUGGUGACGAUGCGUCUAUUUAAGCAUGAAAAUUUAAUGGUAGGGACAUUCAAUGUUAGGUGGAGUGAAAUGGUCUUUAUAUGAUUCAAAACGGUAACGAUAGAUGUAAAUAUUUGAUCUUUCAAUGAUGCCUUCUGUUCUGUGAUGUGUAAAAUUGCCUUAUGUUCCAGUCAAGAAAGGAUUAAUUGCUUUUGCCUUGGGCAGUUAUGUCCAAUUUUUCGACCCAUCACAUGUUAGGCAACAAAUUAACUUAGCUACUAGAAGGGUGGAAAAGAAGUGACACCAGCACUGAUGGGAGUGGUUGAACUACCCUACAUCCUUGUUAUUAUCCUAAUAUACAACUUCAUCUUCCUUUUUUGGAGCCAUGGUUUUAUGGUUUUUAAUACACCCGUGGCAGGGAAAAAGCAAAUAAUCCCAGUUAGGUAUUAAUCAAUUGAUUAAGAUCAUAGCAUAUAUAUGCUACUUUUUGAGGAAAAGUGCGACAAGGGCCUGUACUGAUCAUGUCAUACAUGUAUCAUCUUUGUCGAUCGGAGACCAAAUAAGAGAGUGGCUCCAUACAUGAUCAUGCAUAUGCUUUGGACUGGCUGAAGGGCAACUCAUAUUCCGGACAUGGAAAAAAGAAUAUGAAGCAUAUAUAUGACAAUAACAGCAGGAAGAAGCCAGAAGAAGAAAGAAAUGGGCCAUUUUACGUCGCAUCCACUGAUAUGCAUUGUUUUAACGACUUCUUUUUCCACCUGCUUCAGAGCCGUCUUCUAUGAAGCGGCAUGCAAAGGUCAAAUUUCAUACUUUAAGAAUUAUUGAUCAUAUAGGAAACUGAAAGUAUGUACUUAAUUGGUGUGUAUAUGUUGAUGCAAAGAAUGAAAUCCUAAUUCGAAUGUAUUCCGUCCUCAUUUAUUAUGCUUGCCACCUAUUCAGGGGGAAGUUGUGUUUUGGUCUGAGUGUGCAUGAUUGCUUGGCACAUGCCUACCGGCUGGCGUGAAUGAUUGUUCGGGUCUGCACAUGUCUAUCAAUUUCUUGCUUCCGAAUCAUUCCUCUUGUGGGACUUUUUUUGCCUUCCUGGAUCAACGUCACUGCCAAAUAUAUGCUGACCACAUGUGUCUUUGUGUUCUUUAUAGAUUGCUUAUGGCUUCUCUAAAGAGAUAUCAUCCUCAGAGAUCAAGUUUAUCACUCAAUUUACCACAUGAUUUCACCCGUAUCCACAGCCAUAAUUGCUUGGUAAGCUUACGUACAUGAUAAAGAUGACAAUGAUACCUCUGGAUAAUGCCAUUUAAAUUCCAUGUGCGACCUCCAUGCGCCAAGCCAUUGCUUUGUGGCAACACAAACGCAUGAUCAAGGGCUACCGUGCAAUCAUAUAUUGUUCUGCUGUCCUCUUUAUGGCAUUUGGAUUUUGAAUCCUAACCAUUAUUUACACAAUAAAAAUGAUAAACCCUAGAGUCAAUUUUUCAUGUUUCUUUAUUUCUGCAAUAAAAGUAAGCUCUGAUGUGAGAUAUCAUCCCAUCUGUGGAAUCAGAAGUAGAGCAACAGUUUCAUGUAAAUAGAAUGGAUCAACAAACUUUUCUUUCAUGCCCACACUCUCUGUGUACAAGAUGGAAAUCUGUCCCACAACACAAGUAGUGGGCGAAAUUCAUUAAAGUUUUGGCAGCUCAUGAUGGAAAAGGAACCGUACAUAAAUUGAUUUGGUUGACCCAUUAAUUAAGCAUAUCUCAUCAAUAAAGACAGGUAAUAUGGAUCUGAAUUUCUAUUAAAAGAAAACGCAUCUUACCUCCAAUGCACCGAAAUAAUGUGUCUGAUAAGAUCCUUGAUUUCCAUCUAAUGGCACUCUUUUUCAUUAGACGGUUUUCUGAAAAAGUAAGGCUAUGGUGAACUGAGUAGUGAUGAUCCCAGUGCAGGAAGCAAUUUUGCAGGAAAAUAUUUUAUAGCAUAACAAAUUAAUAUGGAGCUUCCUCACAGUGGAGUAUUAAUUUAUCUAUCUAGUAAAUGGAGAAACAAAUUAUUGUGGUACCAUGAAACUGGUUCCGUCUACUUUUCUCCUUUGAAGGCUGAAUGAAUUCCUGACUUUGUGAAUGUAGAUGUAUACUUGAACUUAGGAGUCCUUAAUGAGAAACAAGAGGAUAAUUUUGACCAGUCAUUGCAUAGCGAUCUGGAAAGCUGUGAUUAUGCCCAGAAAUUGCCCCCUUCGUCUCUCUCACACACUCGCGGAGAUGCUCUUUCAUAUAGAAAAAGGACACCCACACUGAGAUAUUCUGCAACAAGGGAAACUACAAAACAAUAUCAUAAUGUGGGCACAUCUCAUAGUUGUGAGGGUUCAUCUGAGCAUAACCAUAAACACCCCAACUCAACAUUAACUUGUCUUUUCUGCUCAUACUGUAUCAUAUAUUGGAUUCACAUGGGGUCAGGAAUCCAAAAGAGACUGCAUAUCUAGCUACACCAAAAAAAAAAAGGUGGGGAAAUGAAGAAGGGAGAGAGAGAGAGAACUUAUUCAAAUUCACAUCAACAAUCCUCCUUGUCAUGGAGGUAGCGUGGCUGCUUUUUAAUUUAAUUUUCUGUGUACUUCAACAGAAAUUCCAAGAAAAAUAAAGUGUUUUAAGUUCCGACAGACACUAUCUACCGAGAAAUCAAUUGAGCCUUUGAGUUAAGCAUUGUUAGGGCCUAUCACAAUAAAAAAUCAUGUUGUGAUUUGUUUACUAUUAUCUUCAGCAUGACAAGGGUCUGCAGACCAGUAUUGCCAUUUUAUAUGAUUGAUUAUCACUACACAAAGAAGGGUCAACUAAAUCAGUUCAAGGACGAGCUAAGGCAGAUAUAUAGACAGAAUAUUGACUAUUAGCCUUACAGCAUGUGGACUUACAGAUCAUAGCUGUAUUAAAUUAUUAAGCUAAUUAGAGAUUCCUUGAGUUCUUGGGAGUCAAACAAGAAGCAUCUUUUUUUUCUUAGAAAUUAAUGUAAAUAAUCUGACGAGAUCAUAAACAAUCAACACAUGAAUCUCUACUUUCCUCAUUAAUCUCUGCAUAUAGUUCAUUUGAUCUUUGCUGGUCUGAUUUGAAACUCAUUAGAAAAAGAAAAAGAAAAACCCACUAGAGUCCCUAUUUUCCAGCCAUGGUUUACAGACAUGAAGCUGUGGUCCAUUGCCAGAAAAAGCAGGCUCCACCUAUAAAAAAAAAACCAUUUAUAAUAUUGAUUCUCCAACCCAUAAAAGCCAACAGUGGAUGCAAAGAAUCAGGUUCCCAUUUAUUUUUUACUGGGUUCAUCUCCUUUUCAAUUGAGUGCCCAGAGAAAUCUCAUGGGAGCAUUAUAGAAGAUAAGGACAACUGCACCAAACCUAGUGGGACGAGGAAGAUACUGAACUAUUUUGUAAGGUAGGGGACUGUUUCAACGCGCUUCGAAGAUCUCCAUGACUCUAAAGUCUAAACAAAGCAGAAAAUUAAAUAUAGGAAACGCGGGAAACAAUAAAGGAAAGAGCUAGCCACACGACUUGCAGUCUUGUUCAAUCUUCAUAGAAUAUUUAUUACUUCGCUUGAGGUUUGUAUGGGCUUCCUGCUCUAUUUUAGAAAUCGUAUAUUUGAAGGAAAGAAAAAAAAAAAUCUCUGCUGCAUUCUGUGAAUGUCUCUGUCAUGCGUGGCUGGGGUUUCUUUGGAUAAGAUCAGUUGAUUCACUUGUGCUCAUAGCUUGUACGUGAGAUUUAAUUUUCUGGUUGGAAAAUAAAGCUGUGAUGGAAUAUAUGGUCAUGAAUAUGGGCCGGAACCCCAUCACAGACCCUCAUCAUAAAACAUACGGGUCAUGUUAUGAGUUAUGACAACAUCAUAGAAUGAUGUUAUGGAUCAGUAGCGUCGAGAGAGGUAGCUAGCUAGUAAUAUAGAAAAGCUCCAAAUUAAGAAAUGAGAACCCCAAGCUCAAUGUAAAAUGCUGCAGAGCUCUAGUUUUACUUUUAGGCAAAAUGGGAAUGAGCUUUGAAAUUAAAAAUAAUUUCAUUCUCAAGUGUAAUUUUCUGAUUAUAUGGAGACCAAAUUAGGAAAGAAACCAUAAAGAGUAGGUCUCCACUUUUUUCUGGUUCAAAAACCCAUUGCUCUGGAUACGAGGAGUCCAUCCCACAUUAAUGAUGAUGCAGCAUGCAUGCAUGGGGUAGCCGAGGGCCAAACUGCUUUGCGAGUCUUAGAGUGUAUUAUUAUUGUGCAGAUAAAGAUUGCCAAAUUUAGGCCCAUAUGGGCUCCCACACCAACUUUAGGAAUUACGAGUCUUCUUUUGCUUGAUUUCCUUUUCAUACACCCACUUAACUCAAAUUUAUCCAAUCUUCAAAUUUCUAAAAUUUUCUACUCCAUUCAUUCUCAAGAGAAGGAAAGGCUGAAAAUUAUUUGAAAAUAGAUUUUUUUUUUCCUUCUUUCUUUCUUUCUGUCACUCAUUGUCAACAUUAUCCCUUUUCAAAGGGAGCCAAACAAAAAAGGACCAAUACUUAAAAAAAAAUAAAUAAAUAAAAUAAAAUAAAUGGGUGUGAUGAAUUAAUACUGAGAGGGUCAAGGCUCUUAAAUGAAAGUAAGUAACUUACCAAACAGAAGAAUAAAAAUGAAACAAGACGUACAAGGAGCAGCAGCUACCCCCAACAAGGAAAAUAAUAAAAAUGAAGGUGGUUCAUUAAACAUUGAAAAUUGUACAAUCUCUACUUCCUCACUAUGCUCAUCAGAUUUAAUGGCCAUUUAAUUUCUUGCAAUAAAUUUGUUUCUAUGUCCAACACAGCUGUACAAUCUUCUGAUUACUCCUGAGCAACACAAAUUUGUAAGCAUAUAGUUAUGAGAACCUACCAACCAAAAAAUAUCAAGCUACGCUUGCAAUAAAAUAUGAUUUUUUUUCCAAAGUACUUCUAUAAAAUGAACGACCAGCUGUACACUGACAGAAAGCGUAAUAUUACUAAUGUUUUAAUAUAGAAAAAAAAUAAAAUAAUAAAAUAAUGAUAUAAUUUUAAUGGGUUUGACUUCCAAACUGCCUUUAAAACAUUGUGACUAAAUAGUUAAGAUACAAGGAACAAGCAUCAUUUGUUGUCACAUGUAAGGGGAGUCCAUUAAAAGAAUAUGAACAAAAGAGAAAAAACAUUAUUAAUUAUCCUUUUUAAAAUAAAUUCGAAAAAUGUGAACAAAUUAAUUUAGAAAAAAUUGGCCAAAAGAAUGAAACCUUUCCUUGUAUAAAAUCAAUUAUUAUUUCUAUAUAUACGCCAACAAUUUUUGUUUGAUUUCAUAAAAGAAAUUAUUGAAUUCAAUGAAUUAGAGGGCAGUAGACAAAAACAUUUUUAAAAAUGAUUGUUGUUCAUAAAAUGCAAAAUCGUGUUUCCUUUACUCAAUAAUACGUUCAAUUUUGCCUAAGCAACAACUUUCACGAGUGAGUAUGUUUUGAAGUGAUGGAAUGAAAAUAUUAUUUUGGGUUUUAAAAGUUAACAAAUAAUUCACUAAUGCCUUUGAAAACGAAAGGAAUUGAAAUCAAACUAUAAACCAUAUAGUGAAAGGCAUAUUUGAAAGGAAUUGGGAAAGACAAUGUGACCAAAUUUGGAAUUGGAAUGGGGGAUAAACAGAGGAAAGUGCAAAAAUGAGUGCAUGAUGAUGAUGAUUCAGUGUUGAAGAAUGUCUUAUGCCAAUUCCGUAAGGUAGUAGACAAGUUGUAUUACUUUAUAUUUUUAGAUGGGGCCAUCCCCCUCACCCACUCUCUCAUUGCCCUCAGUUCUAAGCUAUCGUCUGCCUCAGAUAAAACCGGUUCUGAUCUUUCUGUUUCCCUCCUUUCUUUAUUUCUUUUCUUUUCUUUUCUUUUCUUUUUUUAUCAGACUGUAAAACUGCAAACCUCAAGUGCAAUGUUUUUUAAAUGGAUUGAUAUUAAUCUCUUUUAAUUUUCUAUUAUUUAUAUCUACAUUAAGUAGCAUAGGGUAGCUAUAGAAACUUUAGGAUAACUUUAGUAAAGGCAUUGAAACAUAUACAUCGUUUUUUUCUUUUUUUCUUUUUUUCUUUUUUAAGUGUAGUAAUUUUUUGAAUAGUUAGUGUAAAAAAAAAGUGAAUUGAGUUUUUUGAAAAGAUAAAUUUAGUAUAAAAAUUUUAUAAGAAUUCACAUUUUUAAAAAUGAACUCUUUGAUAAUGAAAAAAUGAGAGUUAUCAAAUAAAGUGGGCCAAUGAUGAUAAUAAUCAGGAUGGGUCAUUUUAUCUUAUAAAUCCCUACAAAUGACCAAAAUUAUUAUCAGUUUUUUUUACCAUUUGAAUGACUUUUUAAAUUGUGGCUUGAUAGAAAUAAGAGAGAAAGAAAAGUAAAAUUCUCUAGUUCACUUCACGAUUGAAAUUUGCAACUUGAUCAAUAUAUGACUUAUUAUAAACAAGAGAGAAGGAAAUCAAAUUCAAGCUUUAAAUUUUCACAUUCCCAUCUUCUUGUCGUACUAGUCUCCUUUUCCUUCUUUAUAAAUGACAAUGUGGAGAAGUUUAAGAAAACCCUUCUUCAAAAGGUACGCUAAUUUCUUUCUCUUCAUAGAUAUUUUUAUUUUUGUUUAAGAAAUUCAUUUUAUAGAGAUUUCAAUUUUUAGGAUUUUAUUUUGGGCAUUUGAAAAUCCUUUUAUAAUAAUUUCACUUUGGGUAUAUGAAAAAUCACUUUAUUGUGAUUUGAAUUUCUAAGGUUUGAUUUUGAUAAUUAGAGAAAUCUCAUUUUCUUAAGAUCCAUUACAAAACAAAGUAGUGUAGUUUAAAAAAUUUGUUUAUAACUUAAACAUCAAAUUUUUACAUGAAAAAUUGUAAUAUCUUUUGUUUCAUGAUUUAUAUAUAUAUAUAUAUAAAUUAUAUUUUUACUACUAUCAUUUUCAUCCUUUGUUUUCUCUUCUUGUUUCAACCUUCAUAUCUUUUUUUUAUAUGCAUUUUUGGAGGUCUCUUUGCAUUUUUAACCCUGUUUUUUCUUUUUCUUUUUUGUUUUUUUUCAAUUUUAGGGUUGAUUUUCAGGGUAAGUACUCAUAUCUAAAUUUUAGAUUUUUAUUGCUUUAAUUAAUGUCCUUGCCUUAUUUUUCAAUUUGUGAUUUAUGUAAUUGGUAAUUGAGAUACUUUUUAUAUAAGUAUAUUGAGCGGAUAACAAAAAUUUCUAUAUAUGAACUAAGAUUCUCUAUGGAGGUCCUCAAAGCACUCUUUGUUUUUAUAGAAAAAGUUCCCUUUUUCAGGUUUUGUUUUUUUUCCUUUAAGACUCCAUUUAUGAAAUAUGGGAAAAAGAAAGUUGUCAUGCAUUUUCAAUAGUUUUAUGAAUAAAAUAAGUAUUUAAUCCUAAAAUUUGUUUAUACAUUUAUUCCCUUUUUUAUGUUAAGGUCCUCAAAGAUAUUUUUGUUUCAAAAAAAAAAUAUAGUUAAGUGAAAUUAACUUUUCUUGAAUUUUCUCUUAUUUCGAGCUCUAUUUAUAAAACCUAAGAGAAAAAAAAUUGCCAUGCAUUUUCAAUAGAUUCAAAAGUAAAAUAUGUGUUUAAGUCUGAAAUUUGUUUAUACAUUUAUAUAAUAUGUUUCUUUCUUUUCUAAUAUGAUGAUCAUUUUUUGGAAAAAAAAACUUGUGCUUAAAAAAGUACUUAGUUGGUACUUUGGUUGGAGACUGUCAUUGGCACACGACUUGAUACUCAAGUUCAUUGCAAGCUUACUGAUUUAAAAACACAAACUAUUGAUCAGGUUUUGUGAAUCAAUAAUAUGAAUUGGCAAUAGUUAGUAGUGCAACAAUGUUACUACACAAAGCUUUUAGUCUAAGGCAACACUCUUAUUUUUUAAAAUAUAUCACCGAAGAACAAUAAAAUGGUCAUGUGAGAGUGAUUAAUGCAUGUUGGCGUGUAUUUUACUUUGUAUUAUUACUAACCUUCUUUGAAAAACAUUGGUUUUGCUCCUAGAUCAUAAUCAAAAUAGUGAAUUAGAACAUAUGGAACCAUCUCUUUAUCUUUCUAUCAAGAAAAAAUAUGGUAGAUUAAUUGAUAUAUCAUUUAAUGAAAGAGCCCAAUGCAAAAAAAAAUGCAUGUUGGGUCUUUGAAACAGUUCAAAUCAUUUUGAUUUGUUUUAUCGAGGUCUAUAGUUCGAGUCCAUAAAACCCUAAUAUAAUAAAUAAGCCCUAUAAAAUAAAAAAAAUAUGAAAAAUAAUAUAUAUAUGAUUAUUAGUCCAUUUAAUGUAGAUUUGGAUUACUUUACAUAUACAUUAUUUUUAUACAAAAUAUAUGAAUGACAAUAAUAUACUACGCUUAUAAUAUAAAUAUACUAAUAUUAUAAUAUAUUAUGACAUGACCUAAUUAGAAGCUUUUGAACUUGUUUACGAAAGUGACAAUUAUGGUUCAUUAUUUUAUACUCUUUGACAUAUUGUACGUCAUAAAAAAAACUUAGAAGUGAAAUAUAGUAUCAAUUUGAAUUCACAAGACACAUAGGUUUUUUCUUUUUAUUUUAUAAAAUUCAUUAUGUAAUAAUUUUAAUGCAUUGAGUGAAUGAUGCUCAUACACUAGUGUGUUAUGUUAGAUGCCAAUAAGUAUAAAAAGACAUCGUUACUUGUAUUAUAAAAUUUUGGUAAUGACAAAAAUGCAUUACACUUACAAUAUAAAGAGACUCAUUACUAUACAUUACAACAUGACUUAAUUUAUAAAGUUUUAAAUUUUUUUUAUGCAAUUGUUAGGUAUAGGUUACUUUGUUAUAUUCCCUACCAUGCUUUAUGUCAUAAGUCAACGCUAGAUGUUAAAUAAAGUAUCACUUUGAAUUCACAAAUGUUAUUUUAAAGAAAUAACUUAGUAUUUUAUCAAAAAGUAUGAAUUAAUAAUAACCUAAAAUUGUUUUCUUGUAAUUUUUAGGAGAAGAUGACAAAUACAAGGUAAAGUUUCUAACAUAACUUAUAAUAUUUGAUGAUAAUGAAGUUCAAGAUAUCAUUUAUCACUGCAUAGAGAACACACGAAGUCCAUGAUGCUUUAUUGAGAGUUCAUUGAGAAUGUUUGAAGAUAAACAAUAUUGGAAUAAUUUACAUAUUAAUGAAUUUGCUAUAUUCCAUUUAUAUAUUGGUGAAUUUUUCCCUUUUAAUUUGUUUUGUUAGUUAAUGGGUAGUCCAUUGAUAUGUUAUUUCUUUAGAGAAAGAAUUUAGUAUAAAAUGAUAAUCAUACCAAAAAGUCAAAUAUUUAGGCAAAGGAAAACUUGAUUGUUUUAAUAUUUGUGACAGAUGUUUUUUUUCCCUCAAUGUAAUAUGAUAAUAAUUGCUAGUCAUCUUGUUAAAAAAAAUUUGUAUGGGUACUAUUCAACGCAAGCUAGAAGUUUCUAUUAAUUGUCUUACUAUAAAUUUUUAAUACAUAUUUUCCCAAUUAAAUAUGAAUCAAUGUUACUUACAUUUACUUCAUUACUUAGAUAUCAGUGCAUAGAAAAAAUUCUUAGUGAUGUAAAACAAUUAAAAAAAAUUAUAUUAGAUAUUAUUGUAAGGUAUUAUAAUGUUAGUAUAUUUAUAUUGAAAAUAUAAUUGAUUUAUGUCAUUCUUAUAAUUUAAAACAAAAUUUGUAGUUUUAGAGAUGCCUUUUAUACCUUAUGGGUACUAUUAGCAUCAUAUAUUCGAUGUAUUAAAAAAUGGAAACUAUGAAAAAAAAAAAAACUCAAAGUCAAGCAAAAAACAUAUUAUUCAAAUGAAAAAAAAUCAAAUAUGAAAAGAAAUAAUUAUACAAUUUUUUAAUUAUUUUAUUAUAAAAAACCAAAUUAUCCGAAAAUACAUUUUCCUUCAAUUAUUAUUUUUCUUUUCUUUUCAAAAAUGAGAUUGUUAUAAAGAACCUAAUGAAAGGGAAUUUAUGAUUUCUAAAAUAAAAACCAAAUCCAAGAUCAAUAUGAGUAUCUUCCAUCAAUACAACAAAACAAAAUUAAAUAAAAAAAAAAUUCAACUUAAAAGACAAUAAAUUUGAGCAUCAAUAUGGGUUUCAUAUUAUCUUUGGCUUCAAAUGAUAACAGUUGAUCUAACGGUUCAGAAAAAAAAAAAUUAUGGGAGAGCAUGAAGUAUUUUUAUAACUAGAUUUGUUGUUGGAUCUUCUUCGAGGAUAUGCAAGAGAUGAAGAAGAAGAUUAACACAAAUGGCCUUUGGAGGAAUUUUUACACUUUCUUCCCACCCUUCCCAAGACUUCUCAUAAUGGAUGAUUCCAUGGGGUCAUUAUCACCAUUAAUCCACCCUAUUUAGUAAUUUUCCCUACAAAAAAAGUGCAAGUUUUGCGUUAAAUUAUCAUAGAUAAGAAAGAGUAAUUUUUAAUAUGAAAUUAAAUUAUUUAAAAAAAAUAAAGAAUAAUGAGUGCGCAAAUCAAAAGAAAAAAAUGGUUUAGUUUGAGGGAAAAUCAAAGUAUGAAAAAAAAAACAAAAAAGUUUCACGAAGUGUGAGAAAAAAAAUCAUUUUAAAUUUAGUUAGAGAGAAUUUUAGAGAGUUUUAUUUUUCGAAGAAAAAAAUGAGUUUGAAAAAAAAAAAAAAAGAGAGAAGGAAUUCUAAAGAUUGAGUUUUAGUGAAAGGGAAUAUUUAAAAUUAAUAAAUUAUUGUGUAAAAAGGAUGUUUAAAACAAAUUAAAUUUGGUGUUUGUAGAGUAAAAAUAAUUUAAAUAAAUACAUUAACCAUCAACAAAAAAAAUAUAUUAAAAUACUAAAUUAAUUAAAAUAUAAUAAUCCUAUAGAAGGAGAGUUAAAUAAUAGUUCAACCAAUACAAAAAAAAUGUCAAAAAUGUUGAACAAGCUUAAGAUCAAGUAUAAAAAAUAAAAUAAAAAGUCAUUAUUAUUUUAUAAAAAUUUUAAAAUUAUACUUGAACUUUUUUUUCUCUUUUAAUUAGAUGAAUAUGAAUGUUUCAAUUAUUAUUUGAAUUGCAUUUAUGACAUGGUUAACACAUAUAACAUAUUGAGAUACUCAAUGUAUUGUAUUAUACCGUAUCCAAUAAAUUCAACUAGAUUAGUAUACAAAAAAUUUUACUAUCAAUGUCCAAUAUUAAUUUGAACUUAUUAUUCAAUUAGCAUACUAUUUCUUGUUUGGUUAUUUAAUAUUUAUGAAUUAUAACUACAAAAUAAUUUUUACUAAUACUAAUGCAUAUGAUAAAUUUUGGUUAUUAGAUUAUAAAUUAGUUGAAAAUAAUUUUUAACAAAACAAUAUUUUGUCUUUACUCUUUCUAGACAUAUCUUCAAGUUAUAUAAUUAAAUAAAUUUUAAUUGUUUUCCAUCUCUUAAGACUUAAAUUUUUAUUAGAAAAAAAUAAGUUAAGAUAUAUUAUUUUAUUAAAUAAUAUAAUGUAAUUUUUAAUAAAUAUUGAAUAAUUUCAAAUAUUAAUAUAAAAAAUAUGAAAUCAAUCUAAUUAGUAUGGUUUUAAAAAUCGAAUCGGACCGCUCGGUCCAACCGCUGGCCAAUCACGGUUUCAAUUUGAUUAAUUAGGUCGAAAAUAGUUUGAAUUGAAAUCGGACCCAACCCUUGAAUUAGAGGAACCGAUCGAUUCCAUCCGAACCGAAUGAACCCUGGUUGCUUAUUUUCAAUCUAAUUAGUAAACUUAUAUAAUUGCCUAAUAAAAUAAAAUACACUCAAAUUAAAAAGAAAAAAAAAAAGAAAAAAGAGUGCAAAUGUUGGACACAACCUUGGUUGCUUAUUUUCAUGACUUUAAACUCUGCUUUUUAAGAUGGAACGUGAUUCAUUCAAGUUAAGAAAUCCUUUAGGCUAUAUUUGGUUCCCGAAAAAUUUGAGAGAAAAUGCGAGAGAAAUAAAAUAGAGAAAAAAAGUGGAAGUAAAAAAAAUGAAGGAAACUAAAAAAAAUAGAUUCAAAAUUAAUAUAUUAUUUUUACAUGUUUCUUCAAGCUCAUUUCACUUAAUUUCCUCCAUUAUAUAAAGAUUAAAUAAAUUUAAAAUAUAUGAAUUUUUAACUAAUUUUAAUUAUAUUUAAUUUUCUUUUAAAAAAUUUGUAGUGAAACUAAAUAUAAGAAAAUUAUUUUUCUUUGCAUUUUUUUCUUUUCUUAUUUCUUUUUGGGAACCAAACAUAACCUUAAUGUACACUUAUUUUAGGUACCAAUGGACCUUUAUCAUUCCAUCAAAAACUUAAUAUACUACAUUGGAAAACAAGAAGUAAAAAACUAGUUUUGCAAAUUGAAUACAAUUAUGAAAAAAAAAAAAAUAGUUUCAAGGUGCAAUGAAAAAAGUUUACAAGUUUUAGAAUAUUGCACAAAAAAAUAUAUUAACAAAAUCUCAAGGUUUAGACAACAAACUGAUUUACAAGUAGUAAUCUUUCUAUGGAUGAAGUUUAAGAGCCUUAAAAGAGAGGUUCAAGUCAAAACUAAUCUUUAGAUAUAAGUUAUAAUUUAACUAAUCAAUCACUUAUUAUGUAUUAUACUUUUUGGGCAACCUUGGACUGUUAGCCACUGCAACCUACAACUUUUUCCCACUGCUCAAUUAGGUUAUGUUUGGUUUGGGGAAAGUAUUAAAGAAAAAAAAAUUAAGAAAAAUUUAUUUCCUUAUGUUUGAUUUUUCUAUAAUUUAUUUUUUAAGAAAAUUAAAUAUAAUUAAACUUAGUUAAAAAUUUAUAUAUUUUAAAAUUAUUUAAUCUUUAUAUAAUGAAGGAAAUUAAGUGAAAUGAAUUUGAAAAAACAUGUAAAAAUAAUUUAUUAAUUUUGAAUCUAUAUUUUAUUUUACUUUAUUUUUUCUUUCAUUCCACUUUUCUUUUUUCUUUUUUUCCCCUUACAUUUUCUCUCAGAUUUUUAAGGAAUCAAACAGAGGGUAUGAAUUUGAAUAUUUUUUAGCUAUAAAGGUCCAAGAAUUGGUUCAAUUGAAUAUCCAUAUAAUUUUGGAGGAACAUUUUAACAAUAUUAAUAAAUGUUUAUUCGAAUUGAAAAAUAUAUUUUAACUAAUGAUAAAAAUGAAUCAUGUUAAAUUUGAGCUUUUAAUUUUGUAUGAAUCAAACUCUUUGUUUUUUUUUGAAGAAAAAAAAAAUCAACAAUGCAUAAAUGGGUUUUUUUUUUUUAAAUCUUUAUAAAACUAUGAUUCUUUUUCCUUUAAAAAUGUUUAAUUUUUAAAUGUCAAUAUUAAGGCAUAUUUAUUAUCAUUGAAAAAAAAAUAUCUUUUGAUUUUCUUUUCAAUGUCAUUAAAAUUAAAGUCAUAAAUUAUAUGCUAAUCUUUAAUAGAAUGAUUCCACUUUUACCAUCACUUUCGUUAUCUACCUAGCUAUUGGGGAACUCAUGAUGGGACGUGAUAAAAAAAUGAAGUAAUUAUUUCACAAGUUAUUUAUCAAUUUUUUUUAAAAAAUCCUAAUUACCAUAACAUCACAAGAUUUUCUAUAAAUUAUUUUGCCAAACAUUAUGAAAAUGAUGAGAUAAUUUAAUGCUUCUAAAAUUAUAAUAAUUGAAGAAUAAGAUGAGAUUUGAUAGUUGUGGUGAAGUCUAAGACCGCGUUGAGUGUAAUCUGUAAUUAGAGAUAGUGGGGAAUUUCACGAGGCUUGUCAGUAGGCAAAACGCUGGAGUUUAUGCCCCAAUAAUCAAAUCGGGAAGCAGAGAUUCAAACGACAACAAACAAAAGCAAUAGCGGCUAGACGCGUGAAAAAUCCUUUAUGACGUAACGUGCCCCCCACUCAGAAAUCGCCACGUGUGGCACACGCGUCUUCUGAAUUACUUGAAAAUUGAGCAUCCAUUGAGUGUGCCCUGUCCCUUCUGUUUUUACCGAGUCAGUGAUGGACUUGUUAUAUUUUGAAUCCCACUCUCAUCUGCCACUCAUUAUCCUUCUCUACAUGUUUUAAAUAACUGAAAUUACUCUUAAGUGAGUCCACUCGACUACGGGGAUAUAUGAUUCACUCUCUUCUCAUAAGUUCAACUUCAAUUUUUUUUUUGGAUAAAGACAUGGUAAUAUGUACAAAUUUUCUUAAUUCUUGCAAAAAACCGUGACGCAUUAUUUUUAUUUAUUUAAAAAAAUAUGGGUAUAUUUGUGGAUGGAAGGCUUGGAAGCCAUAAUCUUGUACAGGUGAAUGGUGACAGACUUCAUUUAUGAUGGGGUAGUACUAUAUAAUAUUCUUUGUUUUUGGGAAGCAAAACUCUUAAACUUAAUAAUGAAUAAUUUUCUACCUGUUUAAGACUCAGCCUAUCAAAAUAAAACGGCCAAAACCCGGCCUUUAUCUCUCCGUAACUCCUAUAAAUUUCUGGUUCCAACGCAUCAGACACGCCAACAUUCUCGCUUCUUCUCCUCACUUCUCACUUCUCACUUCUCAAACUGAAGGAGAUAGAGAGAGAAAUGCAUAGACAACAUAAGCUUUUGAGCCAUCUCUUUCUCAUUUUCUUAUUCUCAGCUUCGUUUCCCAAUGUAGGAAUGGGUUUUUUUUCUUUUCUUUCUUUUGUUUUCUCAAUAAUUUUUCUUCUUUUUUCACACCCUUUCAAUUCACAAUGCAGGUUGCUUUGGGCGGAGCCGGUGAGGAAUCGGGCAAACCGGUGGCUGGAGAAAACCCAUUCACACCCAGAGCGUCUUUGCUUCGGUAUUGGAAUAAGCAGAUCGGCAGUGGCUUGCCAAAGUCCACCUUUCUUCUCUCCAAGGCAUCCCCAUUGAGCGCGGUUGAGUCGGCCACCUUUACUAAACUUGCCGCUCAAAAUGCGCUUUCCGACAAUCUGCCGGCGUUCUGUAAGUCUGCGAACCUGCUCUGUUUUCCCGAUUUGGGGCAGAGCUUGGAGAAGCAUGACGCUAGUUCCAACUUCGCCGUGUAUUCGAACAAGAAUUUCACCAAUUACGGAACGGAUGGACUCGGGGGAACGGACGCCUUCACAAAAUACUCGGAGGGGGUCAAUCUUCCUGUCGACGCAUUCAAGCGCUAUAGCCGUGACUCCGUCGGCAACAAUGAUAAAUUCGAUAAUUACGGCCGCGAGGGCAACGUCGUGGAUCAGAGCUUCAGCGGCUACGGUGCCGGGGCUACCGGCGGCUCUGGAGAGUUCAAGAAGUACAACGAAGAGGUUAAUGUUCCCAACCUUCGAUUCAACUCCUACACAGACGAUGGCAAUGGCCGUCAACAAUCAUUCACGAGUUACACAAAUGAGACCAAUUCUGGAGAUGAGUCCUUCAGUAGCUACGGCAAGAACGGCAACGGAUCUCCGAACGAGUUCACGAGUUACGGCAGCAGCUCCAACGUCAUCGGCUCCACGUUCACCGGCUACGGUGAAACCGGCAAUGCCGCCAACGAUACGUUCAAGAGCUACGGCUUUGACGGCAACGUGCCAGAGAACAACUUCAAGAAAUACGGUGAUGGUGGUAAUGCGGGGACCGAUACUUUCAUAAGUUACAGAGAUCAAUCCAAUGUAGGAGACGACUCCUUCAAAUCCUACGCCAAGAAUUCCAAUUCCGCAGAGGUGGAUUUCGUCAACUAUGGGAAAUCGUUCAACGAAGGUACAGACACUUUCGCUGGGUACGGCAAGGGAGCGACGAACCACAAAAUUAAUUUCAAGAUCUACGGCGUCAACAACACAUUCACAGACUACGCUAAAAAGGGCAUCUCCUUUUCAAGAUACACCAACAAAAGCUCUGAAACAAUGACUUCCAUGGCGGUCAGUGGCAGUUCAGUAAAUAGGUGGGUUGAGCCGGGUAAAUUCUUCCGCGAGUCGAUGCUGAAGAAAGGGACUGUGAUGCCAAUGCCGGACAUUAGGGAUAAAAUGCCCAAAAGGUCGUUUUUGCCCCGCACUAUUUCCUCCAAAUUUCCGUUUUCAACCUCCAAACUUGAGGAGAUGAAGAAAAUAUUCCAUGCCGCGGAUAACUCAAGCAUGGAGCACAUGUUCACAGAGGCAUUAGAUGACUGCGAGAGAGCACCCAGCAAAGGCGAGACCAAGCGCUGCGUCCCCUCCAUCGAGGACAUGAUCGACUUCGCCACCACCGUCCUCGGCCGCAACGUUGUGGUUCGCACCACCCAAUCCGUCGAAGGGUCAAAACAAAACUUAAUGAUCGGGUCGGUCAAAGGGAUCAACGGUGGACAAGUCACCAAAUCGGUGUCCUGCCACCAGAGCCUGUUCCCUUAUCUACUCUAUUACUGCCACUCCGUUCCCAAGGUUCGGGUCUAUGAAGCGGACCUCCUGGACCCGAAAACCAAAGCCAACGUUAACCAUGGUGUUGCCAUCUGUCACUUGGACACCUCCGAUUGGAGCGCGGGUCAUGGUGCAUUCGUGGCAUUGGGUUCGGGCCCUGGCCGGAUUGAAGUUUGUCACUGGAUUUUCGAGAAUGAUAUGACCUGGACCAUUGCAGACUGAGCCAUGACCCACCUUCCCGUCUGGGUUCGAACCACUUGGUCAACAAAGCUGGCUCGACCCCAACUUCCGCUUAUGUAUUUCCUUCAUAAGAUGUCAUGGUGAAAUAUUUAAGGCAUGUGUUUCACCAGGCUAAGGAUGGUAAUUUAUUGUAUGUUAUCAUUAUCCCAGUGUUGAGAGCGUGUCUUUGAUGGCUUCCUCAUUGGUAGGAGGGUGAAAUGCAAUGAAUGAAUGGCUUGUUCUUCU